rnacentral:rRNA from 1 species
CAGUCGAGGGGCAGCACAGGUAGCAAUACUGUGGCGGCGACCGGCAAACGGGUGCGGAACACCUACCCAACCUUCCUUUAAGCGGGGAAUAGCCCAGAGAAAUUUGGAUUAAUACCCCAUAAGAAUGUGGAAAGGCAUCUUUCAGCAUUUAAAGAUUUAUCACUUAAAGAUGGGCGUGCGUCUGAUUAGGAAGUUGGUGAGGUAACGGCUCACCAAGCCGACGAUCCCUACCUGGCGUGAGAGCGCGACCAGCCCCACGGGCACUGAAACUCGGGCCAAACUCCUACGGGAGGCAGCUCUACGGAAUAUUGUACAAUGGACGGAAGUCUGAACCACGUUGCCCCGUACUAGGACGAAGGCCCUCUGUGUUGUAUUCUUCUUUUUCUGGAAGAACCUCUCCUUUUCAAACGACGUUGACAACAGCAGCCUAAUGAAC